AAUCAAUACACCAGUGGACAGCUGACAGUAAACGCAGACGACAAAAAUCUAGGUUAUGUAAUCAAAACUCCACUAUUAUGAAUUUUUUAAUUUUUCUUGAAAACAUUUUAAUAAUUUCUUCCGUCAACUAAUGUUGCUUAAGGGAUGAACAAUGACCCACAAUGAACGACCGACGAGAUAGCACAAAAUGCCCCAACCCCCACCGCAUUUCAGUCACCAACCUCCAUAAAGAAGAAACACUCACCUUCUCACUUGCACUCCUCAAAGGCGAAAUCACCCUUCCCACAAACGACCCAACUUUCUGCAAAAACUACCUCACACUCUACAACCUGACCACGAAAACCGCAACCAACUGGCCAAUACUCAAAUCUAAAUUCAAGUGUUUGGUUGAUUUAGAACGUGGGGAGAAUAGGAUUGUGAUAAAAUACUGUACGAGUUGUAAAAGGAUUGUUUUGAAUUAUACUCCACGGGAUACGGAUCACUUCGUAACACCGGUGUACAUUAUUUGUAGGAACCAUGGAGGGGAGUUUCAGGCACCUAGCGGGUGUGAUAACUCGAUUACUAGUGCGUGUAGUAGAGUAGUAUUAGGCUCAAAGUUGAUACAGUGUCUAAUCGCUGAAAAACUGUUCGAAAAUGGGUUUGGAAGGAAGACGUUCCAAAUCGAAGCCGAUGUUAUCGAAGAAAUCCCGUACUGUGUCCAGUUUCACAGUAACCUCCCAGUGGAGGAGGCCAGAAAGAUGGACCAGGAAGCGCUGUGGAUCUACUUUGGGCGCGAGAUUAUGAAGUCAAAGAUCUCGAGCACGAAGCGGAAGUUUCUGGCGUUCUUGUCAGCCACCUGGUGGGAGGGAGGUGGAGUCCAGGCGCAUGCCGCCCUAGGUGGCGGUGGGCUGGCGCUGUUUGGGACAGGGUGUCUGCACACGUGGCCCACACGUGUUGAGGAUGUCUUCACGUGUUUUCUGGAUCCGACGCCUGUUGACACCAGCCGGAUUAUGGAUGAUAGCUGUUUCAGAGGCACAUACGGCGGCUGCUUCAGCACGACCCUGGGCUCCGUGUGCCAUGAGCUGGGUCACACGUUCGACCUGGGCCACUCACGUGACGGCAUCAUGGGUCGCGGUUUCGACAACAUCGACAUGGUAUUUUUGCCGCUGGCGCAUGCGCACACUGACAGCAUCCACUUCGCCACCGUCCAGCUGAUCAGUCGGCUCAAGGUCGAGUGUUUUGUGACGUCAUUGAGUCGGUUCAAUUCGCCCCUCAGGAAGUCGGGGAGGAAUAGUUCGCCUAACAGUGCUAAAAUUAGUGAAGAUAGGUCAAAUAAUAGCAGUGGGAUUGGUGGGGAUAGGUUGACUAACAUAACUGAAAUUGGUGAUAGAAGUUCGCCUAAUAGCGCUGAAAUUAGUGAAGAUAGGUCAAAUUAUAGUAAUGGAUUUAGAGAUGGAUGUUCUCCCAAUAGUUCUGGGAUUAGUGAUGAUAGGUCACCUGAAAACACUGAUUUCAAUUAUAAUAGUUCAAGUGAGAGUAAUGGAUUUAUUAAUGGAAGUAGUGGGGAUAAGUCGCUUAAUAAUUCAGAAGUUGGUUAUAGAAGUUCGCUUAAUAGCGCCGAAAUUAGUGAUGAUAGGUCAAAUAAUAGUAGCGGAUUUAGUGAUGGAUGUUCGCCCAAUAGCGAGGUUAGUGGGGACAGGUUGUCCAAUAGCACUGAAAUUGGUGAAAUUACUCUGAAUAGUUUACAUGAUAACACUAAACUCGGUGAUGCGAUAGGUGAUACCUUGAACAGUUCCAUGGAUACUAGAAUUAGUUUUCCUUUUGAUAGUUCAUCUAUGGGUACUGAAAUUUAUGGGAGGACCUUGAGUAGUAACUCGCAUGAUGAUUCUAGUACUCCAGUCAUUGAUGAUGAUAAUAAUCCGAUCAUUGAUGAUGGUUAUUCUACUGGUAACAAUAAUUAUGAAAGUUCUCCUUCUAGAGAUAUAACCAAUAUCAAUUUGAAUACCUUUUGUAACAUGAGUAAUAACACGAAUCAAGCUUCUACUAAUUAUUUGAAUAACAGUUACAGUAGUUCAAAUAACGCACCUGAUAACAAUUCGAAUACCUCCACUUUUAUAAGUGAUGACUUGGAGAAUCUUAAUGAGAACUCAAAUUCUUAUUCUAAAUCUACCUGUGUGUAUAAUAAUAACUCAAACUCUACCUCCACCAACACCAGUAAUAAUUUGGAUACUAACACUUGUAACAACUUGAAAACCUGUGUAAACUACUCAAAUCACCCGUCCAACUGUAGAAACUCAUAUCACAACUCUGAAGCAAAUACUCCUAAAGAGGAUAACAAUUGUGAAGCCCGUUUGAGUUCCUCACCUAGUAAAAUAAGUUACCAUUCAAAUACUAGUAUUAGCACAAGUAUUCACUUAAAAACUAGUAUCAAUAACCCAAAUCAAACUUCUAACUUGAGAAAUUCAAAUGUAAACUCUCCAAGUAAAUCAAAUCAUACAUCCAAACGUAGAAAUUCAGAUAACAACAACCUUAACUCUCAAAAUAACUCUCCAAUGAAGUCAAAUCACACAAACAGAGGCAGAAAUUACUAUUUUAAUUCAGAGACUUCAAGUAAUAACAACUCAAUCUCUCAGAAUAGCUCUCCAAUGAAGUCAAAUCUUACUUCUAAAGGUGGUAACUCAACUAACUCAACCCCUCAAUCGAGUUCCCCUAGGAAAUCAACUACAAAUCUUAAUUCUAGUUGCAGUAAUUCAACUAUCUCAACGCCUCAAACAAGUUCUCCAUGGAAAUCAACUACAAAUUUUAAUUCUAGUUGCAGUAAUUCAACUAUAUCAACGCCUCAAUCAAGUUCUCCAUGGAAAUCAGCUUCAAGUAUUAACCCUAGUAGCAGUAAUUCAACUAUUUCAACGCCUCAAUCUAGUUCCCCAAGGAAAUCAACUACAAAUCUCAAUUCUAGUUGCAGUAAUUCAACUACCUCAACGCCUCAAUCCAGUUCCCCAAGGAAAUCAACUACAAAUCUUUAUUCUAGUUGUUGUAAUUCAACGUCUCAAUCUAGUUCCCCAUGGAAAUCAACCUCAAGUAUUACCCCCAGUUGCAGUAAUUCAACUAGUUCCCCUAGAAAAUCAACUACAAAUCUCAAUUCUAGUUGCAGUAAUUCAACUACUUCAACCCCUCGAUCGAAUUCCCCUAGGAAAUCAGUGCAUUCUCCCAAUAGACCUAUGGCGUCACCUAGCCAACUGUCAUCGACCAAUAGGAGCAAGCGUAGCAACAGCAAGGUGUUGGUGGUGCAGCAGCAGAUCAAAAACAAGGACGGGGAUUGGCUGACGGGUGGAGUGGAUGAUCGCACCUAUUGGACCGCUAGCUGUGCCACAUUGCUGGCCUAUCACAAGUGGUUCAACUGUGCCAAUCAUAGCCAAUCACGGGUCGAGCUCAAGUUCAACGCUGUUAGAGGCCUGGUGACGUCAUCUGUUGGCCUGCGGGUAGUGGAGCUUCGAGGCGUGGACAGCCUGGUGCUUCACUCGUGGCAGUUCGGUCAAACUCGGCGACCCAAGACUCAGCUGGUCGUGCCCAAGCAGAUUUCUGCGCGUGCGCUGCUCAUUGUCAUCGAAGACGACCACGGAAACAUUAUCAAGCAGGAUCUGACAACUGGUAACAACAACAACUGCUAGUUGCAGGACCUGACAACAACCAGGUUGAGUAACACCAACUGCUAAUUUACCUGACAACAACCAGGUUGAGUAACAACAACUGCUAAUUUACCUGAUAACAACCAGGUUGAGUAACAACAACUGCUAAUUUACCUGACAACAACCAGGUUGAGUAACAACUGCUUAUUUACCUGACAACAACCAGGUUGAGUAACAACAACUGCUAAUUUACCUGACAACAACCAGGUUGAGUAACAACAACUGCUAAUUUACCUGACAACAACCAGGUUGAGUAACAACAACUACUAAUUUACCUGAUAACAACCAGGUUGAGUAACAACAACUGCUAAUUUACCUGACAACAACCAGGUUGAGUAACAACUGCUUAUUUAUCUGACAACAACCAGGUUGAGUAACAACAACUGCUAAUUUACCUGACAACAACCAGGUUGAGUAACAACAACUGCUAAUUUACCUGACAACAACCAGGUUGAGUAACAACAACUGUUAAUUUACCUGACAACAACAAUCGCUGUCAGGGGGUAGACAGGAGUUGAGGAUAAGAAGUUCAACAACAUCAACCAGGACCUGACAACAACUGGAACUGUGAGCAACAACAGUUGUUGAAAGGAGUAGCGGUUAGGAUCUGCAACAUCAUUAAACAGGAUCUGAUACACUACCUCCGUAAACAAAGCCGUAGUGCAUUCGUGUGACGUCAGCACAGGUAGGGCUCCUACACCAAUAAAAACACUAGCUGAUAUAGAUUAGCUGAAAUCAACUAAUUUUUAUUGGUGUAGGAGCCAUACCUGUGCUGACGUCACACGAAUGCACUACGGCUUUGUCUACGGAGAUAGUGUCUGACACUGACUGGUUUGGUUUACAACAUUAGUUGACAUGAUUGGAAGAUGAGGGUGGCCACUAGCGACAGGAUAACUCAAAGACCUUAAAGAUGCAUAGACUCACAUGCAGCGCUAGUGUCAUACUUGGAAUUGAAAUCAGCCAUUGAGGGGGCAACCUAUAACAUUAUUACAUACCAAUGUCUUUGUA